AGACUCCAGGCCAAUCCUGGAGGGUUGGCAACCCUACUUAUUUCCAAUGUCACACAAACCAGUGUUGUAAAACCUUCCUUUGUAAAAUGUAUUGAUUGACUCAAACAACUGUUUCUGUAUUAUCAGAGCUUUGCCAUCUAGCUGGAUGUUCAUGAUGUCUUUUGCAUUUUAAUUUCUUCGCAAUUUUUGUCAUUGGAAACAUAACAUUGACUGACUGGAUUUCCCUUCUAAUAUCCGUGACUGACAGCUUGUAACUUCCCUUCGUGUUACUGCUGACUAACACACCCUGCUAGCUAUGUACUGGUUUGGGAUGAAGAGCAGUGACUACAGAACUUUCGGAUGCAGAAAGCCACCUUUCUGGAACUGUGUGCGGAGCUCACCCCAGACCUGCAGCGCAAAGACACCAAAAUGAGAGCUGCUCUCUCGGUAGAGAAGCAUGUGGCAAUCGUUGUGUAGAACUCCAGACUGCUACCGGUCAGUGGCAGAUCAACUUGGAAUGGGGAAGUCAACCGUUGGGACUGUGUUAAUGCAAAUGUGCAGAGCAAUUAAUCGCAUCCUGCUACAAAGGACUGUGAUUCUGGGAAAUGUGCAUGAAAUACUGGAUGGCUUUGCAGAAAUGGGGUUCCCUAACUGUGGAGGGACAAUAGAUGGCACACAUAUUCCAAUUUGGAAUCAGACCACCUUGCGACAGAGUACAUCAAUAGGAAGGGGCACUUCUCCAUGGUAU